AGAUUGCCCGCUGUCUUGAUAACCGGACUGAAGUAGAUAUUGAUACAAUUUUAUUCAUUUUUCGGAUGUUUCAUGUGAUUAUUGUUUCAUAUUAGAUUUUGAAUUUUUAUUAGCCAUUGGCCAUCUACUGUGAAGUGUGAAAUUGUGUUGUAUUAAACUGUAUCAUUGCAGCUGCAUUUUAAAAAAGCUGUACAUCUUCUCAACAAUAUGGGCACUUUAUCUACAAUUAUUUCCUUUGGUCUGGGUAUCUAUACAGGGUUAUACGCAGCACAAAACUAUGAAGUAGCUAAGGUUGAUGAUCCUGGAGUAAUUAUAGAAAAAAUGAAAAAGUAUUUAGAAGAAGUAAUGAAGCCCAAAUCAUAAAUUAC